rnacentral:rRNA from 1 species
GACGAACGCUGGCGGCGUGCCUAAUACAUGCAAGUUGAGCGCUGAAGGUUGGUACUUGUUCCAACUGGAUGAGCAGCGAACGGGUGAGUAACGCGUGGGUAAUCUGCCUUUGAGCGGGGGACAACAUUUGGAAACGAAUGCUAAUACCGCAUAAAAACUUUAAACACAAGUUUUAAGUUUGAAAGAUGCAAUUGCAUCACUCAAAGAUGAUCCCGCGUUGUAUUAGCUAGUUGGUGAGGUAAAGGCCCACCAAGGCGAUGAUACAUAGCCGACCUGAGAGGGUGGACGGCCACAAUGGGACUGGGACACGGCCCAAACUCCUACGGGAAGGAGCAGUAGGGAAUCUUCGGCAAUGGACGGAAGGCUGACCGGGCAACGCCGCGGGAGUGGAGGAGGGUUUCGGAUCGGAAAAAUCUGUUGGUAGAGAAGGAAGUUGGGGGGAAUGGAAAGCGCAUCAAGUGACGGUAACUACUCAGAAAGGGACGGCUAACUACGUG